rnacentral:rRNA from 1 species
CACGCAGGCGGUCGUGUAAGUUUGGGGUUACAGCUCCCGGCUCAACUGGGAGAGCGCCUUGAAGACUGCAGGACUUGAGGGCCAGAGAGGGACACAGAAUUCCGGGUGUAGUGGUGAAAUGCGUAGAUAUCCGGAGGAAUACCAAAGGCGAAGGCAGUGUCCUGGCUGGUGACUGACGCUGAGGUGCGAAAGCUAGGGGAGCGAACGGGAUUAGAUACCCCGGUAGUCCUAGCCGUAAACGAUGACCACUAGGUAUGGGAGGUAUCGACCCCUUCCGUGCCGCAGCUAACGUGAUAAGUGGUCCGCCUGGGGAGUACGGUCGCAAGAUUAAA